GAAAGGCCAGGUGGUUUGUGACAUCAGAAAACCUGGCAGCCACAUUAGAGCCAUGCUGUGCCCCCGCCCCACCCCCAUGACUCUGACUUCCAAAGGUACCCACAACCGGCUGGGGGACAGAUCAUCCUGACCCCUUCAAGCCUGACCGUCUUGCGUGCCAGUGAGGGCAGGAGCUGGAGAGAGAGAGUUCUGGCCGCUCUGAGGUCUCUCCUUUGAGGGAUGAUCAGCCAGGUCAAGUGAUCUGUCUCAUGCCAGCACCAGCUCAGGCCACAGGUACCUUAUUUCUAGUCCUGCUGACUGAGACCAAGGCGGGGUGGCCUCGUGACCUGCUUUCUGCCACACAGUAGAACCCCAGACAGCAGAGGUCUCCUAAGGACCCCGUGCAAGUGUCCGUUUCCAGGCAGAAGACUUCCCUGAGCUCAUAACCAUGGUGGCCCCUCUCUCUGCUGUAAAGUCAGGGCACACCCCCCACCCCCGCAAACAUUCUGCCCUCCUGGGACUCACUACAGCCUUCCACACCCCCUUUGCCAGCAGAUGAUUAUUAGGAUAUUCAGUUUGUGUGUAAGUAAGAUGUUAGCAUUGGGGGACGUUACAGACAUCACCCCCAGCGCCUAGAACAGAGCAGCCUGCACCGGCCAGGGUGCUCUCUGAAGUCCCAGAUGCCACCCUGGUGACCAGGACAGGGGUGCUCCAUGAACACGUGCUGAGCCGCACAUUUUCCUCAUCUGUCGUGAAAAGGACAGAGACCAGAGACGUAACCUGCUCACUAAGCAGCCAAAGCCCUGGAUAGGAAGCUUCCUGAGUGAACACCGAGCCCGGGAAGUGGACUAUACAGACAGAGACCCGGGGGUCGGGGCACAGUAGCUUUUCAGAGUCUGGAUCCCCAGCCAGAUCUGGCCAAGUCCAAAGCCCGCUCAGUUCCUCCUCCUGGGAUGCUGUCCUUGCUGGCUGGGGCCAGCGCCUCUGAAUGGAAGGGAACCAACCCCUAGAAAGCCCUGUCUCGAGCGAAUCCCACCAGAAGAGGUGCUCAGCAUUUUCUGGAGCUUUGUGGGUGUUGGACACAGACCCACAGCUGCCUCGGCACAUGUGGAAGGCCCAGGAUGCAUCCACACAUGUGUGAGGCGCUGGCGUCUGCAGAAGAGAGGAAGGGGACAUCUGGGUGUAACAUGCCCAACGCCACGGGCACACUCACAUCACCUCCACCGCCGGCCUCAUCCCCUCCCCCAGACCUCAGUCUCCCUAGACUCCUCGCUAAAGUCACCAUUGAAGGGGGAGGAGGAGGGACUGGAGGGCCCAAUCUCGGCCCGGAGAUGGUGAACUCUUCAACGUGGUCACUUUGGGGACUCAGGGUAUGGUCAGCGGGAGGACAAGGUCCCUCAGUUCUGGGCACGUUGGCCCAGAGAGGCCAUGGAAAACCAGUCAUGCAACUAAUCUACGUGCCCCUGCCCAGCUGGGCUUUAACGUGCAGCCCAAACGAGCCGAGAGUCCUCCGAGGUCUGCAGAGACAGCUGGAUGCAGUUUCUCCCCACCAAGCAUCACCCAUCCCCGUAAACCAUCAUACAUGGCUCCCCACAACCGCCCCACCAGCUGGCCUGUGUCACCACGGCAUCCCGCAGAUGAGGCCCUGAGACCGGGCGAAGAGGGUGGUGUGGACUGAACGCGGCAGCCUGGCUCUAAACCCCGGAGGCUGGUGAUUCAGUGUAGCAGGUGCUCUCGCUGGUGUCCCUGCAGGGGUAGGGGCCUCGCUUUCGUGGCCAUCGGAGACCCUCUCAAGGCUCCUCCUCCCUCAUUGGCCAACAUGCAUCUCAAGGCCAAAGCCAGUCCUUCAAGAGCUCUCGGCCUCCAAGGGUGUGGUCAUCAUGGGACUAGAAAGGCAUUUCUCAGGAAGGAAAAGCCCUUGUUCUGCAGAUGGAAAUGUUAAUGCUGGAAUUCUGUUGCCCUGGGAAACAGGGUUCUCUCCUUAACCGUUUGGGACCAGACUGGAAGGCAGUGGUAAGGCUUGGAAUGUCCACCUGGGAGAACAGCGGGCAGGGCUGGACGGCCAGGCAGACGGCUGGAGGUGAGGCACCGGGGGACAAGGAGGUGAAUCCAACUGGAGGGCCCACCUGACAUCCUCACUGUGUACCCAGCCUGGGCCGGGAGUGGGCGCAGGCCUGGCCAGGCGAGCAGAGAUGGGAUCUCAGACCGGGCUGGUCCACGGCCUCCGCUAUGGAACACAGUCCCGGUGAGGUCAUCCAGAGAGGGCCCCCGGUUUGGAACCUAGGUCACUCUCCCCGGAGAGGCGGCGGCAUGGCGUGGGAGAUGUCUGUGAGGCAGUGUGUAAGACCAACUGUUUAGGGUGGCUGCAUGUCGGGAGGUGCGGGCCUUUCCGGCCAGAGGUUCAGAACCACAUUUCUUCCAGAGCGCGUUCGGGUUAGGGCUUCUCAGCCGGCCCUCCCGCCAUCCGCAAGUGCCUCCCUUUCCUGGUGUUGACUGGACACCUGCCCUGGGCUGGACGCACAGAGGACACUGAGGGCAUGGGCAGGGCCGGGACAGCCAGCAGGUGUGGUCCCCACACCACUUAGGUCCCAUGGGCUCGAGAGAGGUCAGUGUUAAUCCAGGAAUGAUGAAUGGAGGUAUGAGUUAACAUGAAUAAUAGAGAAGUACAAAUUCAUGCUUGAAAUGGUCACAAGUAUUGCUUGCUAUAAAUCAGGACCUAUAGAGUAA